AGCUUGCUACCUGACCUAGCGGCGGACGGGUGAGUAAUGCUUAGGAAUCUGCCUAUUAGUGGGGGACAACAUUCCGAAAGGAAUGCUAAUACCGCAUACGCCCUACGGGGGAAAGCAGGGGAUCUUCGGACCUUGCGCUAAUAGAUGAGCCUAAGUCGGAUUAGCUAGUUGGUGGGGUAAAGGCCUACCAAGGCGACGAUCUGUAGCGGGUCUGAGAGGAUGAUCCGCCACACUGGGACUGAGACACGGCCCAGACUCCUACGGGAGGCAGCAGUGGGGAAUAUUGGACAAUGGGGGGAACCCUGAUCCAGCCAUGCCGCGUGUGUGAAGAAGGCCUUAUGGUUGUAAAGCACUUUAAGCGAGGAGGAGGCUCUCUUGGUUAAUACCCAAGAUGAGUGGACGUUACUCGCAGAAUAAGCACCGGCUGACUCUGUGCCAGCAGCCGCGGUAAUACAGAGGGUGCGAGCGUUAAUCGGAUUUACUGGGCGUAAAGCGUGCGUAGGCGGCUUUUUAAGUCGGAUGUGAAAUCCCUGAGCUUAACUUAGGAAUUGCAUUCGAUACUGGGAAGCUAGAGUAUGGGAGAGGAUGGUAGAAUUCCAGGUGUAGCGGUGAAAUGCGUAGAGAUCUGGAGGAAUACCGAUGGCGAAGGCAGCCAUCUGGCCUAAUACUGACGCUGAGGUACGAAAGCAUGGGGAGCAAACAGGAUUAGAUACCCUGGUAGUCCAUGCCGUAAACGAUGUCUACUAGCCGUUGGGGCCUUUGAGGCUUUAGUGGCGCAGCUAACGCGAUAAGUAGACCGCCUGGGGAGUACGGUCGCAAGACUAAAACUCAAAUGAAUUGACGGGGGCCCGCACAAGCGGUGGAGCAUGUGGUUUAAUUCGAUGCAACGCGAAGAACCUUACCUGGUCUUGACAUAGUAAGAACUUUCCAGAGAUGGAUUGGUGCCUUCGGGAACUUACAUACAGGUGCUGCAUGGCUGUCGUCAGCUCGUGUCGUGAGAUGUUGGGUUAAGUCCCGCAACGAGCGCAACCCUUUUCCUUAUUUGCCAGCGGGUUAAGCCGGGAACUUUAAGGAUACUGCCAGUGACAAACUGGAGGAAGGCGGGGACGACGUCAAGUCAUCAUGGCCCUUACGACCAGGGCUACACACGUGCUACAAUGGUCGGUACAAAGGGUUGCUACCUAGCGAUAGGAUGCUAAUCUCAAAAAGCCGAUCGUAGUCCGGAUUGGAGUCUGCAACUCGACUCCAUGAA
rnacentral:rRNA from 1 species